GACAGAGGGUGCAAACGUUGUUCGGAAUUACUGGGCGUAAAGCGUGUGUAGGCGGUCUCAUAAGUCGGAUGUGAAAGCCCCGGGCUCAACCCGGGAAGUGCAUUCGAAACUGCGAGGCUAGAGUAUCGGAGAGGUUGGUGGAAUUCUCGGUGUAGAGGUGAAAUUCGUAGAUAUCGGAAGGAACGCCGGUGGCGAAAGCGACGCGCUGGGCCCUUUCUGACGCUGAGGCGCGAAAGCCAGGGGAGCAAACGGG
rnacentral:rRNA from 1 species